CAAGGAGCACUUACAGUUUGUGUGUGGACGCUGCUGCGCCCACAGCCUGCCCUGAGUGUCCUCCUCUCCUUUCUUUCAACUUCAUCACCAUUCGCCUCUCUCUCUCUCUCUCUCUGGUUGUUGAAGCUUCAUCAAUGGCGGACAGCCAUCAACCCUUCAGGCUCCCUCAGCAAAGUAAAAGAGAAAAUCCCCGCCUCUUUCUUCAAAACAACCACCCACAGCUUUUCUCCACCUUCCAACAUGCCCCAGUUCACCAGCUUCAUUGCCCUGAUCAGAACCCAAACCUUGUAGGUUUUGUUAACAGCGAAGGAGUGCAUGUGGUUGGGCCCUCCUCUGCGUCUUUUUCUUUCCCUAGUUGCGGUGACCAUUCUCUCUCCUCCAUUCACAACGCUAAAGACUUGGACCACCGUUUCUCCUUUGGCGCUGACGCUGUGUCUUUAUCUCUGGCUCCUCACCGUCGCCACCAACGGUGUGCUCCUCUGGAGCUGAAUCCGAAGAGAUACGACGUCGUUUCCGUUCGAGGAGGAACUCCGAAGCCGAACAACGAAUUGAGAAGUUCGGUUCCGCUUGGUCCUUUCACAGGCUACGCAUCGAUCUUGAAGCGAUCCAGCUUUUUGAGCCCUGCGCAGCAGCUUUUAGACGAUUUUUGUGGCGUAGGCCGUGGUGUUUCCGAUUCGGCGUCAUUUGAUCCUCCGUUGGAAGGAAGUGGAACCGCUGAAGAUCCGAUCGGUUGCAGCCAUGGCAGCGAGCAUUUCUGGAAGAGCUCCAGGUUCGCACCAAUGCUCGACGAGGUUUACAGGAGAUAUAAGCUUUACUGUCAGCAGAUGCAUUCUGUAGUUGCAUCGUUUGAAACUGUUGCUGGGCUUCAAAAUGCUGCUCCGUACAUAUCUUUUGCGUUCAAAGCCAUGUCAAAUCAUUUCAGGUACUUGAAGAAUGCAAUUUUGGAUCAAAUUCAGUUUACAGGCAAAGCUCGUGUAGGCCAUAAUAUUGGAAAAGAUGAAACUCCAAGAGUUUGGACAGCUGACCAGGGGUUUCAUAGCCAAAAAGCAGUUCAGAGCUCAAUGUUUCUUCAACAUCCUAUUUGGCGGUCCCAAAGAGGACUUCCAGAUCAUGCGGUAGCUGUACUCAGGGCAUGGUUGUUUGAACACUUUCUACAUCCUUAUCCUACUGACUUGGAGAAGCAAAUUUUGGCCCAACGAACAAGCCUAUCAAGAAAUCAGGUUUCCAACUGGUUCAUCAAUGCAAGAGUUAGACUAUGGAAGCCAAUGGUAGAAGAAAUACUCACGCUUGAGACAAAGCAAGCUCAAACGGCAGCAGAGGGAGAGGCUAACAAGCCAACUGACCCCCUUCCUUCAGCAAAUCCACUGCCUCUUAGGAAACCCUUUCAAAACACACCCACCCAAAAGAUGGAAGAUACUCAGUCUAAACGAAGUAGAAAUAAACUCUCCUAUAUGCUCGAACAAAGAGAUGAACAAACGAACUUUCCUUACAAUAAUUUCUCAAGCAAUUACCAAAUGGGUGUUAGUGGAAUUGAGAAAAGUGCAAGCAAAGGCAUAUCUUUAGCAUUGGGUCUCCACCAAAAUAACAGAAUUGAGUCAUCUACGAGCUUUUUUCAGCCUGGAAACAAAUAGCCAGCAGUAUUUGAAAAAUGGUUCUGAAGCACGAAAUUAAAAUUCAGGGAAGGAUCGAAGGGCGCAUUUGCUUCAUGAUUUUGCCAGCUGAAGUAUUUCAUUCGAUUCCAAUGCUUAAUUUAGAAGCCUUACUUCUCAGCAAAAUCUACAAUACAAUAUGCUUAAUGGAAUGAAGAACAUAAGCAGAGACAAAAGAGGAUCAGUGGGAAGCUACCUUCUCUUGAGAAGGAACGAGGAAAAUCUGCAAUGUUCCUCUGCCAGGGAAAGUAUUGGAGAUCAAAAAGUCACUUAAACAAGGUUUAUUCAAUCGGGAAUGAAGUAAAUGAAUGAACUGACUGGUACAUAAUAAAGCAAACCUGAGGUAUUAUUCUUGAGCUUGCACUGAAAAUUGUAACCUAUGUAUAAAAACUUGGCACAAUGUGUGGCUUUUUUAACCUU